rnacentral:rRNA from 1 species
AACACGACUCUCGGCAACGGAUAUCUCGGCUCUCGCAUCGAUGAAGAACGUAGCAAAAUGCGAUACCUGGUGUGAAUUGCAGAAUCCCGCGAACCAUCGAGUUUUUGAACGCAAGUUGCGCCCGAGGCCUUUUGGUCGAGGGCACGCCUGCCUGGGCGUCACGC